rnacentral:tRNA from 1 species
CCCUGGGUGGUGUAAAUGGUUAACACACUUAGCUAUCAAAUAAAAGGUUGGAGGUUCGAGUCCACCUAGAGGGU